rnacentral:rRNA from 1 species
AAUAGAUACCCGGGUAGUCCACGCCGUAAACGUUGGGCGCUAGAUGUGGGGACCUUUCCACGGUUUCCGUGUCGUAGCUAACGCAUUAAGCGCCCCGCCUGGGGAGUACGGCCGCAAGGCUAAAACUCAAAGGAAUUGACGGGGGCCCGCACAAGCGGCGGAGCAUGCGGAUUAAUUCGAUGCAACGCGAAGAACCUUACCAAGGCUUGACAUACACGAGAACGGGCCAGAAAUGGUCAACUCUUUGGACACUCGUGAACAGGUGGUGCAUGGUUGUCGUCAGCUCGUGUCGUGAGAUGUUGGGUUAAGUCCCGCAACGAGCGCAACCCUCGUCGCAUGUUGCCAGCACGUUAUGGUGGGGACUCAUGUGAGACUGCCGGGGUCAACUCGGAGGAAGGUGGGGAUGACGUCAAAUCAUCAUGCCCCUUAUGUCUUGGGCUUCACGCAUGCUACAAUGGCCGGUACAAAGGGCUGCGAUGUCGUAAGGCGGAGCGAAUCCCAAAAAGCCGGUCUCAGUUCGGAUUGAGGUCUGC